GACGUAGGAUGCAAGCGUUGUCCGGAAUUAUUGGGCGUAAAGAGUUCGUAGGCGGUUAUCUAAGUCUGGUGUUAAAGCCCGAAGCUCAACUUCGGCAUGGCAUUGGAAACUGGAUGGCUAGAGUGUGGUAGAGGUCUCGGGAAUUCCUGGUGUAGCGGUGAAAUGCGUAGAUAUCAGGAGGAACACCGGUGGCGAAAGCGCGAGACUGGGCCAUAACUGACGCUGAGGAACGAAAGCCAGGGGAGCGAAAGGG
rnacentral:rRNA from 1 species